rnacentral:scRNA from 1 species
AGGACAACUGGCUAGGGCUAGUGCUCUCAGCAAGUCAGUAUGAUUUGUUACAAUGUCAAAACUUUGCCUUUGUAAAUGUCCUAGAGAAAUAUAGUAGCUCUCUGCCCUUUUUAAGUAAAAAGGGUGGAUCAUUCCACUACUGACAUUA